GUCAAAGAUGGCUUCGACAAAAUGGCAGACAGAUGCUUUGUUUAUCUACAGUCAAUACAGUACAGGUAUCAGAGUGAGGAUGGAACAUUGUACUAUAUAAAGGUUUAUGCCUUUGUUAAUGAAGACGAAUCCUACUACUUUCACCUGAAGAUUUUCCAGAAACCUUCAGACAAACCAGGAAAUCUUGAGCUGAUGGCCGUUCAAGGCAACCAUGACUGCAAGGACCCAAUUGUGCCUUUUUAAGGAGACCAUACAUCCAUCAAAGCAUCAUUGCCUGUAACCUUUACAUUUAUCCAGCUUUUCAUUGUCUUACAAUAUCUGCCAUGUAAUUAUCUGCAUCGCUACUGUAGACUGUAGUUGUUCAUUCAGGACAACACUUUUGUACAAGAUAUGUGGACAAUAAAAGCAGAUUUGUUCUGACUCUA